rnacentral:tRNA from 1 species
GUGGUGGCUCAGUGGUAGAGCGCUUGCUUAACACAUGUGAGGCCCUGGGUUCGAUUCUCAGCACCACA